UAUCUAUAAGAUAGUAAGACCCCUGAGAGAAGAUCAGGUAGAUAGGCUAGAAGUGGAAGUGCAGUGAUGUAUGGAGCGGACUAGUACUAAUCGGUCGAGGACUUAUCCAA
rnacentral:rRNA from 1 species